AGACUGGUUUUUCACAGGAAAAAGGAGGAAGAUAUGACAUUAAAGAACCAAAUUUAAUGCAACAUGAGAAACAGCAAAAAUCAAAUUCUAUUUUCAUGAAAAAAACAUUUUCUAUCUGUCUGAUAGACAGUUGAAUUUUGAAAUCAAAGCCCUAUCUAUUAAACCUGGCAAUCUGACACUGAAUGAAAAGCAAAUAUGAUUGGUAUUGUGUUUUAAACACCACACAUUAAAGGGAAACUUCGCAAAAAAAUGAAAAUUUUAUAUUAUGUUUAUUUGAUAUAAAUAAUCAUAUAUUCAUUAAAAUUAUUGUUCAAUUCUUCUAGAUAAGUGAUUAAAAUAAAAAUUAAAAUCCCACUAUCACUUCUCGACUUAUCGCCAUUUUGACGGCAUCUCCGAUACAAAUUAUCACGUGAUGAGUAUAUUUGAAUAAAAUAUCUGAAUACCACAAAGCAAAAAAACAAGCAUGGCAUAUCGUAUAUAUUCAGUAUCAAAAUGACUUGUCAAGCGUACGGAUGUUCAACUCGGAGUUCACAUGGCAUAAGCUUACACACUUUCCCAGAUCC
rnacentral:lncRNA from 1 species